CCUACGGGUGGCAGCAGUGAGGAAUAUUGGUCAAUGGACGAGAGUCUGAACCAGCCAAGUAGCGUGAAGGAUGACUGCCCUAUGGGUUGUAAGCUUCUUUUAUAAAGGAAUAAAACGAGGCACGUGUGCCUUUUUGCAUGUACUUUAUGAACAAGGAUCGGCUAACUCCGUGCCAGCAGCCGCGGUAAUACGGAGGAUCCGAGCGUUAUCCGGAUUUAUUGGGUGUAAAGGGAGCGUAGAUGGGUUGUUAAGUCAGUUGUGAUAGUUUGCGGCUCAACCGUAAAAUUGCAAUUGAUCCUGGCAGGCUUGAGUAGAGUUGAGGGAGGCGGAAUUCGUGGUGUAGCGGUGAAAUGCUUAGAGAUCACGAAGAACCCCGAUUGCGAAGGCAGCUUACUAAACUGUGACUGACAUUGAGGCUCGAAAGUGUGGGUAUCAAACAGGAUUAGAUACCCGUGUAGUC
rnacentral:rRNA from 1 species